rnacentral:lncRNA from 1 species
GCAUGGCCUGCAUGCCAGCCCAAUCGAAAUAGGUCAUGCUUAGGCACCAUCUAUUUAGAAUUUUUUAAAAUUUAUAAAAAAAUUAUAUGAAUAAAUUAAAAAAAAUUGGAGACUAGGGAUUUAAAUAUAAUGCCAUCUUGUUAGGUGUGGGAUUUGGUAUGGACCCCUAUCAAUUUAUUAAUAAAUAUCAAAAUGAUACAGUGAGGGA